rnacentral:rRNA from 1 species
AUUUAAGGUCUGACCUGCUCAAUGAUUUUAGAAUUAAAUAGCCGCGGUAAUUUGACCGUGCAAAGGUAGCAUAAUCAAUAGUUUCUUAAUUGGAAGCUUGUAUGAAGGGUUUGAUGAAAAAAUUUCUGUCUCUAUAGAAUUUUACUAGAAUUUUAUUUUUAAGUAAAAAAGCUUAAAUGUUUAUUGAAGACGAGAAGACCCUAUAGAGUUUUAUAUAAAAAAAAAUUAGUAAAGGUUUARAAUUGUUUUUAUUUAUUUUUUAAAAAUAUUUAGUUGGGGUGAUUGAAAAAUUGAUUAAACUUUUUUUAAAAUAAAACAUUUAUUUAUGAARAAAUGAUCCUUUUAAAUAGAGAUUAUAAGAUUAAAUUACCUUAGGGAUAACAGCGUAAUUUUUUUUAGAGUUCUUAUCGAAAAAAAAGAUUGCGACCUCGAUGUUGGAUUAAAAUUUAUUAUUGGUGUAGAAGCUGAUAGAUUAGGUCUGUUCGACCUUUAAAAUUUUACAUG